rnacentral:rRNA from 1 species
GUGCUUGCACCCGCUGACGACCGGCGGACGUAUGAGUAAUGCUUAGGAAUCUGCCCAGUAGUGGGGGACAACAGUCGGAAACGGCUGCUAAUACCGCAUACGCCCUACGGGGGAAAGCAGGGGAUCUUCGGACCUUGCGCUAUUGGAUGAGCCUAAGUCGGAUUAGCUAGUUGGUGGGGUAAAGGCCUACCAAGGCGACGAUCCGUAGCUGGUCUGAGAGGAUGAUCAGCCACAUCGGGACUGAGACACGGCCCGAACUCCUACGGGAGGCAGCAGUGGGGAAUAUUGGACAAUGGGGGCAACCCUGAUCCAGCCAUGCCGCGUGUGUGAAGAAGGCUUUCGGGUUGUAAAGCACUUUCAGCGAGGAGGAAGGCCUUAAAGUUAAUACCUUUAAGGAUUGACGUUACUCGCAGAAGAAGCACCGGCUAACUCCGUGCCAGCAGCCGCGGUAAUACGGAGGGUGCAAGCGUUAAUCGGAAUUACUGGGCGUAAAGCGCGCGUAGGUGGUUUGGUAAGCGAGAUGUGAAAGCCCCGGGCUUAACCUGGGAACGGCGUUUCGAACUGUCAGACUAGAGUGUGGUAGAGGGUAGUGGAAUUUCCUGUGUAGCGGUGAAAUGCGUAGAUAUAGGAAGGA